UUUUAAAAAAAUUAUUUAUUUUCAAAACGUCACCAUUAAACCAACUUAAAACUACCUGUUAGUUUCGUGGGUUGGUAGCGGUGAAUAUUACUUCGUGUUCUGAGGUCGUCCUUGUGACAGACGAAAAGAACCGCAGCUUUCACUCUUAGUUGGAAAUUGUUCGGGGUGGUAUUUGACAAAUUUAGGUCAAGUACAGGUUAAUACCUAGUUUCAGUAAAAAAAUGUGAAUUCCGAAGUAUGGAUCACCAAAUGUAAUCAGGAGUAUUUAGGAGAAAUAAGUAAUCCAUCCAAUGGGGUUUUCUGUAUAAAAUCAUCGAGUCACAUGCCACUCCCGUGAAAACUUAGACCUCUCAAUACCAUCUGAGAGGUAGGACAAUUUCCAACCAUUAGUCACUUGGGGGAACAAGCAAGCUGGAGCGUUCCAGCUCCAUUUUCUGUCAUCUUUACAUCUGCACCUACGGAUAGGACAGGUUAGCACUCUCCGUGUGCUCAUUUUAUGGAUUGCAGCAUCGAACUUUAUCUUGAAGUCGUUCGAUGAAGGGAUUUGUUUGGGAACAUUUAAGUUUUGUGAUUUUAGUAACUAUUGUGUUUAAUAUCACAGACAUUUGGUUAAUGCAUUAUGUUUAUUAAUUAUUUUUCUUAAGAUUUAGCUUGCAUUUAUUUGGUUUUUAAUAUAGGUACAUAUAAGUUUAGUAAGUUUCCAAACUCAUGUAUAAUUUUGCGGUACUGUACGUUGAGCUCGGCGUAUCUGCCAAAAAGGUAUUACUUUUUAUAUUUCAUUGUUAAUUUAGGUCGAUUUCAUGUCAUUAUGUACAUUUAGCUUGUAUUAGUUGCUUGUUUCUCAGAUAUUUCGUUGUUCAUUUGCGUUUCUUCAUUUGUUCGGUUAAUUCAGGUCGUUGUUUAAGUAUUUAUCUUACCUUCAAUUUAUUUUAUGCAUUUGUAUGUUUAACUUUCCUUAACUCAUUUUCUUGUAUUUUCUUUAGUCAGGCUUGUGCCUGCUGAUUUAUACAUUUUUCAUAUUUGUCGGUAUUUAAUUUAGUUGUACGUAGCAAGCGUACUAUAACCAUUUGAUAAAAGUCUCAUGUGAGUUGUACCAUGUAUAUAAGUAAGAUGUAAUUUUGUAACAGGUAACAUUAUUGUUAUCUUAGAUAUAACUUUUGUAUAACUGGCUAAUUGGUUCAUGCCAAAGCCAAUUAUAAAAAAAAAAACUUUUGUAUAACGCAUGUCAUUUUAGAGUCACAUAAUAUGCACUUUGUGUAACCCAGAGAUUGUGAAGAUCUAGUAGUUAUAUCUAAUAAAUAUUUGUUUACUUUGUUA